rnacentral:rRNA from 1 species
AGAGUUUGAUCAUGGCUCAGGAUGAACGCUAGCGGCAGGCUUAACACAUGCAAGUCGAGGGGCAGCACGGGUAGCAAUAUCUGGUGGCGACCGGCGCAAGGGUGCGUAACGCGUGAGCAACAUGCCCGUAUCAGGGGAAUAAUCCAGGGAAACUUGGUCUAAUACCCCAUAGUAAAUAUUAAAGGCAUCUUUAAUAUUUUAAAGCUUUGGUGGAUACGGAUUGGCUCGCGUGACAUUAGCUAGAUGGUAAGGUAACGGCUUACCAUGGCUACGAUGUCUAGGGGUUCUGAGAGGAAGAUCCCCCACACUGGAACUGAGACACGGUCCAGACUCCUACGGGAGGCAGCAGUGAGGAAUAUUGGACAAUGGAUGGAAAUCUGAUCCAGCCAUGCCGCGUGCAGGAAGACGGCCCUAUGGGUUGUAAACUGCUUUUAUAUGGGAGCAAUAAGACCUACGUGUAGGUUGAUGAGAGUACCAUAUGAAUAAGCACCGGCUAACUCCGUGCCAGCAGCCGCGGUAAUACGGAGGGUGCAAGCGUUAUCCGGAUUUAUUGGGUUUAAAGGGUGCGUAGGCGGUUUGAUAAGUCAGCGGUGAAAUAUUUCAGCUUAACUGGAAGGGUGCCGUUGAUACUGUCAGGCUUGAAUUUAGUUGCUGUGGGUGGAAUGUGUGGUGUAGCGGUGAAAUGCAUAGAUAUCACACAGAAUAUCGAUUGCGAAGGCAGCUCACAAAGCUAAUAUUGACGCUGAUGCACGAAAGUGUGGGGAUCAAACAGGACUAGAUACCCUGGUAGUCCACACUGUAAACGAUGAUAACUCGCUGUCGGCGAUACAUAGUCGGUGGCCAAGCGAAAGCGAUAAGUUAUCCACCUGGGGAGUACGACCGCAAGGUUGAAACUCAAAGGAAUUGACGG